GGGAUUUCAGGUCCCUUUGACCCCAAACUCCAACACCGGGAGCUCUCCCCGCGCCCUUUCAGCUUCCAACCAAGCGGAAAGCAAACACCUCCGGGACAUGGAGAGCCUUUUCUUCCUGCCUUUAUCUCCUUCCUCCCCUCUCCCCUUCUCCCUUUAGUGCUCAGGGGCAGAGAUUUGAGCGGGAGAAAAGCCCCCGAACAACCCGGGCUGUGAGGGGGGCAGAGAGGCCUGGGCCCGCUGCCUCGGCCUAAGCAUGAAUAGGCCCGGCCUAAGCAGGCCGGGGAGCAAAAAAAGGGGCUGGGCACGGCUCAUUGUGGGGCUGCUCGGGGUCAGCACGGACCAUAUGUCACCAUUCCAGUGCCAGGGUCUCCAUGGAGCCCCCUCGGCCCGGCUCUUUGUCCCAGUGUCCCCCCAGAUAUAUUCAUGGCCUGGCCGGGCCGUGCCCGGGGACAGAAACAAAUUGCUACAAGGCAGGCCCACCGCGGCCCGCAGCACACAAUAAAAGGCCAGUGCAGACUGUUUAAAAGCUGGAGAAAGGGCCGGUUGCCAUGGCGAUGGGAUGGGAGGCCUGUUGCGGCCCAUUAAACUCCAAUCACAUGUAAAUUUAUCCCCAGGCCUCCAGCGAGGGGGGACCCCCAGAGCUGCAGAAUAGCCCCCGACAAUAAGCAGUUUGUUUAUCAAUUCAGAUCCCGCUGGAAUUCCCUUUAUUCCUCGUGUGCAGAACGGGGCAGGUUGGGGCUGGACCCUCUCCCAGUCUGGAGUCCCUGGAUUGCUCAAGAACUUCAGCUUUCCCCAUGGAAAUUGUUGGGAAAAGGCUCCAGAGGCAGAGAAGCUGCUGGGAAUCACCUCCUCCCCGAUGGGGAGCCACGGUCUAAUUAAGAAGAAACCUCCACAAGCCCCUUACAAAGUCUGAGUGGCAGCUGAUUAUUGUAGCAAAGUGCAACCUCUGCCAUUUUGUCAAGCAAGCCCAUCAAAUUAGGGCGAAAUAAGAUGUCCAUCUGUUUCCUGAAUGGCAGCGCCGCCAAAAAAUCAGAUUCCCACCAGUUCCUUAAGUCCCAAUUAUUCCCAGAUUAUCUUUUUGAGAUCGGGGAGAUGGGCGCUGAAUAAACCUCGUGGCCUCGUUA